GACGAACGCUGGCGGCGUGCUUAACACAUGCAAGUCGAACGAGUGGCGAACGGGUGAGUAAUACGUGGGUGAUCUGCCUUUCACUUCGGGAUAAUCCUGGGAAACUGGGCCUAUUACCGGUUACUGCAAGAUGAGCUCGCGGCCUAUCAGCUUGUUGGUGGGGUAAUGGCUACCAAGGCGCGAUGGGUAGCCGGCCUGAGAGGGUGUACGGCCACAUUGGGGCUGAGAUGCGGCCAAGACUCCUACGGGGGGCAGCAGUGGGGAAUAUUGCACGAUGGGCGGAAGCCUGAAGCAGGGACGCCGCGUGAGGGAUGAAGGCCUUCGGGUUGUAAACUCCUUUCGACAGGGACGCGGUACCUGUAUAAGAAGCACCGGCUAACUACGUGCCAGCAGCCGCGGUAAUUC
rnacentral:rRNA from 1 species